rnacentral:rRNA from 10 species
ACGAACGCUGGCGGCGUGCUUAACACAUGCAAGUCGAACGAUGAAGCCUUUCGGGGUGGAUUAGUGGCGAACGGGUGAGUAACACGUGGGCAAUCUGCCCUUCACUCUGGGACAAGCCCUGGAAACGGGGUCUAAUACCGGAUAAUACUCCUGCCUGCAUGGGUGGGGGUUAAAAGCUCCGGCGGUGAAGGAUGAGCCCGCGGCCUAUCAGCUUGUUGGUGAGGUAGUGGCUCACCAAGGCGACGACGGGUAGCCG